rnacentral:rRNA from 1 species
CCUACGGGUGGCAGCAGUGAGGAAUAUUGGUCAAUGGUCGGGAGACUGAACCAGCCAAGCCGCGUGAGGGAUGAAGGUACAGAGUAUCGUAAACCUCUUUUGUCAGGGCACAAAGGCGGGGACGCGUCCCCGGAUGAGUUUACCUUAAGAAAAAGCAUCGGCUAACUCCGGACCAGCAGCCGCGGUAAUACGGGGGAUGCGAGGGUUAUCCGGUUUUAUUGGGUUUAAGGGGUGCGCAGGGUGUCUGUUAAGUCAGCGGUCAAAGCCCGGGGCACAACCCCGGCCCGCCGUUGAAACUGGCAGUCUCGAGUUGGAGAGAAGUAUGCGGAAUGCGCGGUGUAGCGGUGAAAUGCAUAGAUAUCGCGCAGAACUCCGAUUGCGAGGGCAGCAUGCCGGCUCCACACUGACGCUGAGGCACGAAAGCGUGGGUAUCGAACAGGAUUAGAUACCCGUGUAGUC